rnacentral:rRNA from 1 species
GUCUGGUGAUGAUGGCAAAGAGGUCACACCCGUUCCCAUACCGAACACGGAAGUUAAGCUCUUUAGCGCCGAUGGUAGUUGGGGGUUUCCCCCUGUGAGAGUAGGACGUUGCCAGGC